CGUGGGUUCGAAUCCCACUUCUGACACCA
rnacentral:ncRNA from 8 species